AAAUUGAAGAGUUUGAUCAUGGCUCAGAUUGAACGCUGGCGGCAGGCCUAACACAUGCAAGUCGAACGGUAACAGGAAGCAGCUUGCUGCUUUGCUGACGAGUGGCGGACGGGUGAGUAAUGUCUGGGAAACUGCCUGAUGGAGGGGGAUAACUACUGGAAACGGUGGCUAAUACCGCAUAACGUCGCAAGACCAAAGAGGGGGACCUUCGGGCCUCUUGCCAUCAGAUGUGCCCAGAUGGGAUUAGCUUGUUGGUGAGGUAACGGCUCACCAAGGCGACGAUCCCUAGCUGGUCUGAGAGGAUGACCAGCCACACUGGAACUGAGACACGGUCCAGACUCCUACGGGAGGCAGCAGUGGGGAAUAUUGCACAAUGGGCGCAAGCCUGAUGCAGCCAUGCCGCGUGUAUGAAGAAGGUCUUCGGGUUGUAAAGUACUUUCAGCGGGGAGGAAGGUGUUG
rnacentral:rRNA from 1 species